rnacentral:rRNA from 1 species
UGAGCAAUCUGCCCUUCUCUUCGGAAUAAGCGUUGGAAACGACGUCUAAUGCCGAAUACGACCUCCUUUCGCAUGAUCGGAGGUGGAAAGCUCCGGCGGAGAAGGAUGAGCUCGCGGCCUAUCAGCUAGUUGGUGUGGGUAAUGGCCCACCAAGGCGACGACGGGUAGCCGGCCUGAGAGGGUGACCGGCCACACGUGGGACUGAGAUACCGGCCCAGACCUCCGUACGGGGGCAGCAGG